CAAGUCAUCAUGGCCCUUACGAGUAGGGCUACACACGUGCUACAAUGGCGCAUACAGAGGGCGGCCAACUUGCGAAAGUGAGCGAAUCCCAAAAAGUGCGUCGUAGUCCGGAUUGGAGUCUGCAACUCGACUCCAUGAAGUCGGAAUCGCUAGUAAUCGUGGAUCAGAAUGCCACGGUGAAUACGUUCCCGGGCCUUGUACACA
rnacentral:rRNA from 1 species